UGUAAAAGCAUACAAACCUGAAAAUUUUAUUGUUAAAGCUAUAUUCUAUGGGAAGCUUGUGGAAUGAUCACAAGUCCAGGUGUCAAUAUGUAAAUAUAAUCACAAUUCCGCCUUAUCGAUUCCAAAUCUCAACAAUACUUUACGUUUUGGGGACGACGUCGAAGAGAGGGAGCAAAAUGUCAACCGGAGAAGAGAAGGGCCCAAAGCUUCUGCGGCUGUUAUAUCUGGUCGGCGCCGGAAGUAAUUCAUCGUUUCCUCCUCCUCAUUCAUCCUUUUCCUACAUCUAUAAAUCCAUAUGCGUGUAAAAUCAGUAAUUUGAUUUAGAAUUGCCUUCGCUUAAUCAAAAAACCUGAUUGGGUAAUUGGUUGUAUCAGUCCUCUGUACGGCUGCGUUCAACAAGUGGAGAGGUAUCAGAAAAUCUGCGUUGCGACAUCAACGGCACCGGCGAUUGUUGGAGGAGCCAUCUAAAGCCGUUGACUGAUUAAUCGCACUCCAUGUUAGGGCUUCGUAUCGAUCCUAUCGGCGUCAGGAAACGAUUUCUUCUCUAAUCAACAAUUUUCUUAUUUCGUUUGCAUUUGGGUUUUGGAUUGAAUCGUUUCGUGUUGGUUUUUGUGUUGGUCGGAUCUUGAAUAAUACACCAAAAAUGUCAAUAUUUUGAUUCCUUUUUUUUUUUUUUUUUUUUUUUUUUUUUUCUCGUAUGAGUUUCAGAAAAAUUAAUUUGGUUUAACAAGAAUCGAGUAUCUGAAAUGUUCGAUUUGGUGAAUUUAAGUUUGAUUGAAAGUUUGAAACUGCUGAAGGCAGAUUGGCAGAUUGUGUAGGAAAGGAUGUUUUUCUUUUGGUAACAUAAUUUUAGAACCAAUAUUUGAAUUUAGAAACAAACACUUUUUAUUAGAAUUUUAUGCAAAAAUGGAACUAUUAUAUACUAUCAUUUGCA
rnacentral:lncRNA from 1 species